CCCUAGCCCUGAUAGCAGCGGCAUCCUUUUUAGGCAAACGAAAACGUCUAAAUUAAAGCGAUAAACAUUCUGCCUAAAAAGAUAGAGCGGAUAGCAGGAACAAGC
rfam:Flavobacterium spartansii strain MST NODE_2_length_781930_cov_46.9408, whole genome shotgun sequence.